ensembl:lncRNA
UGUUUGAACCUGGAGUUCAUUCUUUAGAGAGCCAGGAGGAACAGAAUGAAGAGACUCCCAUCACAGAUGGCAGGUGGGAGCUGGAAGCCCAUGCAGACCAAGAGUGUGGAACUCCAACUCCUCUGGCCAGGGGAAUAAAGAUGAAAUUGUCCUCUAGUUCACCUUGGAGAAAAUGCAUCUUGAUUUUUCAGUCUGGCUUUUGCUAAACGAUGGGAACGCCCACUUGCUACACUGUUGUCUCCGCAACCAGUAACCCUGCCCAGAACACUGGCUGAAGAUAAACAUAAUGGAGGCAGCACGGAGACAGGAUAUUUCCUGGUGGAAUUCCAGGCUUGCCCUGUGUGCAACGCAAAUCCUGUGCUCAGCUGGCAAGGUUGCGAAGGUCUUUCUUCCAUGCCAGGUUGGUCUGAUAAUCCAUGCCAUGUUUUGACAUACUUUGUGUAUUACAACUCAUACACUUUUGCUUCUAUGGCAACUGAUAGCUUUGUAAACUGGCUUUUGAGGCCCUAGGGAAAGAAAUACAUUGGCAGAGUGCUUAGGGUUUCAUUUUUCUGUAAAACAGAAAAAGCAAGAUACUCUGGGGCUGGCUCUGAUGAUCGGACAAGAGAUUAUGUAAUUACCCUCGACGUGCAGCUUCUACGGAGCCAAGAAAUGGCUUUAACUCUUCAGAAGGCCCAUGUUGACUUCAAACAACUUCAAAUGUAAAAAUUUAUCUUCUUCUUUUAAUAGAACAAGGGUAUUUUUAGUAUAACACAUCCAUGUGCAGCAUAUAUGUUGUCUCAGCCCCAGUGUGAAAAGGAAGAAUUGCGAUUUUGAGUACCCCAAGGAUUUUAGUUUGCAGCCUUCUGAUUUAGUGAUACAAAAAUAAUUAGAUUGUUUUAAAAAAUCUUGACUUUCCUAAAUCUAUCUCUCCAAGAGAAAAUUAAAUUAAAUAUCUGGAUGUUUUGGUUAAAGCUUUCAGUUUUCUUAACUGGUUAAGGAUUUCCAUUAAAAUAGGUCAAAGGUUGCUGAUCUGUGAUCUGCGAUCCCACUUUAGCCACUGAUAUUUUCUAAGUAUUUUGAGGUAGGAGUGACAUUUAUUUUUAAAUGAUUGGAAAAGAGUUAAAUAUUAAUAUUUCCUAACACAUUAAAAACUACCUGAUCUCAAGUGUUAAUGGCCACAGGCAAAGUUGGAUGAGAGGAUGGCCAGCUCCAUUCACUGCCCAGGGGCGGUGAAUGACCCAGGGGCGGCUGCUUCACAGCUGCAGACCGGAGCAUCUGGACAGAUGGCAGAUAGCUCAGAGUGGACACAUCCGGCCCGUCCACCACAGAGAAUCUGUGACCUUUGAGAUGGAGUUCGUGUUCGGAUCAGAGUUGGGCUUUUGGAAGAGGAAAGGAAAACUGAAGCGGAAGGAAUGGAGCUUGCAGUCCUACGGCCUCGUUCUGAGGGAGGAGGCCGGAAGUCAGUAGCAGCAACUGGACUCCACGCCCAGCUGUCAGUCACUGCUGAUCUUUGCUGACAGGCUUUGCAGAGCUCCAAUGAAAAGCUCCAUCUUCAGAUCUCAGUUUUGCCGAAACUCACAACCCCACAGAGAAUUCAGGAGCACUUAUGGAGCACCUGGCACACAGUGUGUCCUAGAUGAGCGUGACAUCAGUGCUCUCCGCCUAAAUGAUGCAAGCAUGUACUUUGCUACUCUGUGUUUGUGAGAGAGAACUGUGCUCCUAUUUGAGGCUGCGAGUUCCUUUCUCUCUCUCUCGCUCUCCGUCUUUCUGCAGCUCUGUUUCAUUGUAUUUAAAACAUAGUUUAGAGAAGAUUUGAAGAAACACAUAGGCACUUAGAACAAAGGUAUGAAAUGACAAGGAAUAAUUGUGUAGUUUCCGAAAUAUUUAAAAUAGAACUUGUGUUUUUAAAGUAUAAUCCCACAGCAUGAGAAUCAUGACACCUGAAAUUCAGAAGGAACCCUUUCUAGUUCACAGAGGAGCAGAGAGGGCCGUUGUGUGCUGCAGGGAGGGCACAGGUGAGCCGCAGGGACCCCUAGACCCAGCCAUGCUGGGGCGGGCUGGCAGGAGGACCCUGAGGCCUCUGGCAUGGGUGGCCUCGGCUUCAGCGUGGGGAGGAGCUGCCCCAUGGGGCCUCUGUGGUGCAGGAACUCAGCAGAAGCCUCCAGGUUCUGAAGUAAGUCCCCGCUGGAGCAGUCUCUGCUUUAAAGUUCUCACUUUUGUCAGUCCACGUCUGCAGUACACAGGAUCACAUUCCUCGUGGGAAGUGGCUCGUGCACGUAAUACUCAUCGUUCUUUCUAGUCCCCUCUGCCUCCCUCUGCUCUCCUUCCCAUGACACCCCAGAAAUAAGCAGUGGGGACUCAGGGCACCCGCCUGGAGGGAAGGCUUGGUGAGCCCUGGGCACCGUUCUCCCCGACUCUGGACAGCAGGGCUGGCCUCGGCUGACCUGUGUGCUCCUGUUUCUCCCUGGGACGUCCUGGCCAUGGAGGCCACUGCCCGGGGGACAGGCCUGAGAGGGUGAGCCCUGCUGUGGGCCGUCCUGGGGCUCCCAGUGGCUCCUGGGCCUCAGGGUCCACCCCACCAGAGAUCCGACGGCCAGGCUGCCCCACAUUGGGGUGCCAGUGUCCUGCUUUCUCAUUGGCAGGUGCAGGAUCUGGGGUACUGAGGAGGCCGGGUGGGGUGUGGCUGUCAGGGUACUUCACCCGUCCCAGGAAACAGAGGCCUCUGUCACCGUGUCCCUGGGUGGCGCCAGGUGGGCAGUACCCCGUGAGGAGCAGAGUGCCCACUCCCACUGCUGCCUGAGCACCUAGGCAGGAAGAACGCACCAGGGUGAAUUCGAGGAGAUGCCCGUCCAGGGGAGCUGCUUAGGAGCCGGGGAGGGCGGGUAAGAAAUGGUGGCUCUCGAGGGCAGCCAGUCUGGGCACGCGGAGGGCCAGGGACGCCCAGUGCUGAUGGCUGGCACCGCCUGUGCUCUCUCCUCUGCCGCCCGCGUCCUGGAGCCCUGCAGCUGUCCUCGCCCGCACACGUGGAAGGAGGCCCCGUGCCUCACUCUGCUCAGGCUUCCGGACGGAGGCCCUGGUUCUGCGGGCUGUGACUCGGCUCUGUCCACUGGGCCCUCACUCGGCCGACGCUCUGGUGGCUCCUGGGUCCCCUGGGUGGGGGUGUGCUGUCUGUCCUCCUCCCGGGGAAGGCUUCCCCUCCCCUCCCAGAACUGCUCCUGGGGACCAGGCCCUCAGUGCAUGGCGCUGGCUCGGCCAUCCUAACGCGGCAGCCGAGAGACCCUGCCCCACCACUCGAGCCCUGAGCCUGGGCCUCCCCCCGCUGUCUGCUCUCUGGGCCUGCAGCUGUUGAAGGCUUUGGCACAGUGGGCCAGGCCUGGAAGGCCCUCAGAACACCAGGCCUCAGCACUGGUGCAGUACAUGCCCUACUCCUCGGCACAUAGCACUGCAUGGUCUUGCUGAGCCCUGAGCAUUUGGGGUAAGGAUGAGAUCGUAUUCAAAGCAAGUAAUUUGCUAGUAAGUGUAACUAUGGACUUUGUUUUAUUUAGUGUUUCUAGAACUUAUUUGAAUGUAGAUGAUUUUUCUUCUCACAAAAUCCCUGUGUAAUUUGGAAGAUGAUGCAAAAUAAAAAGUGAAGU